UUAAACGUCCAUACCACGUUGAAUACACCGGUUUUCGUCCGAUCACCAAAGAUAAGCAACGUCGGGUGCGGUCAGUACUUGGAUGGGUGACCGCCUGGGAACAUCGCGUGACGUUAGCU
rnacentral:rRNA from 1 species